CCAGUUUUGAUUUUAGAAGUUUCCAGGGAUGGAGAGUCCACCACAGCCCUAAAGACAAAGGAACCAAACAAUUUGAUCUCUGUGGUGGAUCCUGAGCAGGCUGGUCAGUAAAAGCUGAAAAGGAGAGUGAAGUUCUUUAAAUAGUCCAGUGACAUCACUGUACAUCACCAAGAGUAGAAUGGUAGAGCAGAUGGAAGUACAUAUUACCUGUUGUUACAACUUCCAGUAGACAUUAACUCAUUCUAAGGUGAGCCACUAGCUGGCAGCAUUAUAUAAAAUAUGAAUAAACUGCUGUUUAAGAAUACAUGUGACUGCUUCCAAAAGUAUUACCUGAUAACAGGUACGAUCCUGUGAAAAAUGGAAUUAAAAAGAACCUUGAAUAAUUCUUCCUUAGAGCCCAUAGAAGUAGCUACAGUAAGCUAUGUACAUGAGUCUUCUGGCAUUAACCUUGGAAACUGCUGCUUUAACGUCUUACUCAGACUGCAUCCUUGUGGCUGGUUUCUGUCUCUUUCUAAAAAAAAUGUCAAAGGAUGUAUUUUUCAUUAAAAGAUUACUGCUAGAAGGUGGAAAAAUCACAACUGGAAAUCAGUAUUAUUUAUUAUUAUUUUUAAAGAAUGUGUAGGAGUAGUCUGGGGUGGAGGAAUGAUCAGUUCAUUCUCCAUGGACAACAGUGUGGUGUCUGCUAAGAAGGUCAUACAGCCCCAGGCUUUAUUAACUUUAUCAUAGGAUGCUCCUUUAAAGGAAGUUCUGCGAGCUGUGGCCAACAGGUGAAGCCCUAGCAGAGUGGUCCAGUGCAGCUGUGCUGAUAUUGUGAGGUGGUAUUAGCAGGCUCUGGAGGGCAGACACCUUGCUGAUUCCAUAAAGAGACAAUCCCCCAUAUCAGUAGAAUAACCCGGGGGGGGGGGGAGGGAGUCUGCAAGGAGAUGCUUUUGAGUGUUUCUUCUCUUUGGCCUCCUCCAAUAGAAGCGGGCAAUCUGGCCCCACAAUUAUUACAUGAUUAUAUCUUAUAGUAGACAUCCUUAGAUUAUUUAUUUAUUUAUUCAUUAAAAAUAAACCCAAUCAAGUGAAGUGACUAAAAGAUGAAAUUAUCAAAAGAUUAUAAAUCUCCCUCAUUACUUGCUGCAAGCCUAAACAAAUUGCAAUGUGUGGGAAGCUGUUACACAAAAUUGUUAAGCAUUGUGGAGUUUGCAAGUAAUAUCCACUUGACACCAUCAUAUGCUUUUCACCCAAACAGCAUACUCUGGAGAGUUGUCGUGAUGUGAAGAUGCACAUCUACCAUAGGAAUGAGUUUGCUUAGAAAAAUACAUUUUUCUCUUGUAAACUUUACAUGAGAUUAUUUAAUUGUGCAAACAUUCCUUUGAUUUGAAAUCACUGUAAGUUCAAGUUUUUGUUUUCUAGUUAAUUGACUUUUGUGUGAUUCCAUAUGAGUGUAAAAUUACAUGUUCUGGAACUGAAAAAACAGCAGAGGGUGCUGCAGUUACAGGACUACCCAGGCAUAUACUCCAAAGUAGCUGCUGCAGUAAGCAGAUACAGUUACCGUGAAGACUUAAACUUUCAACGUUUAAUAGAUAAGUUAUAGAUUUUUUUUUUUAGUUCUAGUGACUCUAAUUCUGUCUUAACUAUACUGUAAAACUUCACUUACAGAAUAUGACUUACGAGAGUCAAACCCAUCAUUACCAUAUUGUCGUCUUUGCAGCUCCAUAAGAAUUCUGUCUGAGGCGUACCUAUUAGUGGAUUCUUACAAUGAUGGGUUACUUUCGGAUUUUCACUAGUAGUUUGCAUGAUAAAUUGCCAUUUUUAUUAUAAUAUUUAUUUUUUUGAGCAUUAGCCACUUAUAAUCUCUGCUAGGUGCAGAGGACAAUUAUACUGAUUUGGUAAUGUGCAAGAACUGAUAUGGAGACAUUUCCUUGUUGACUUCUCUGUGAAAAAGAGAAAAUAAUAAUACAUACCAAAUUAUUUCUCCAAGUUUAGUUAAAAAGGUGUUGGACUUAUCUGCUUUUUCUAGUUAUUGUUUUGUACAAUAACAUCUUGUAACAUAUUCAUUACAUGAGUAUGCAAAUACAAAACUCUCAGUUCCCAAACUGUUGUACAGUUGACUAUAGUAAUGCACUCAGAUAAAUGAAGGUAAGGGAAUAGUUAACCUAACAUAAAUUCCACCCAUGGUAAAAUUACAUGUUUAAUUGUAGAGUUCAAAGACCAAUGUAUUUUCUUGAUACAUAUUUUUUAAAACCUGUUUUGGUUGUUCGCUAAAAAUGUCAUAGAUUGAAACCUCAACAUAGAUUUCCAAAAGCAUGAUGAGUAGAUAUUUUUCUUGUUACUGAACUCAUUUUUUACAUUCUAUUAAUCAUAAACAAUAACAAAGACUCUCAUUAUCUAUUGAAUUGUUUUUACUCUAGUGAAUUUUGAUUGAGAUGCUAGAAAUUAAAAAACAUAAAUAAAAAGAAAAGGAGGACUUGUGGCACCUUAGAGACUAACAACUUUCUUUG